UGACACCUGAAGAAAGAUAUUCAACAGAGUUGUUUUUAGCAUCUAACACAGAGCCCGAGGUCAUGCUGAAAUCAUCGAUGGGGGCAAACAGCAUCGGGGUGCCGUGGGCUCAGCGACGCAGCCUUGCACAAGAGCGUUAGGCACGCCAACGUUCCAGGAAAUCAACACCUAGAGCGCUGGGAAAUUAAAUUCUACACUCGUGCCACUAUUUCUUCCCUGGAUUUCUUCCAGGGCCACGUGCCGCUGAUCUGAAGCCCCCAUUCUAUCUGUGCAGCUGGAACGCCAUUCUGGAACGUCACAUCUUGAAAUCAGAAAUAACGGAUCCCACCCAGGACAGCAUGUGACAGUGUCAUGUGAGUUUCUCCGACUUCCCUUGUUAUUCUGGCCUUGACGGUUUUGCUGGUCAGGAGUGUUCCCUAGAGUCAGACCAUUCUCCAAGAAUCGCAGUUCCUUUUGCUGGAGAACAAAUCAGAAACCGUGACCUGGUGCGAGUGGUUCCCCGCCAUGGGACACGGAGCUUCUAGCUUCUCCCCGCUGACAGAGCAAGGAAACCUUUACGUCAUUUACACAAUGAUUUAUCCACUUAAGAGCAUGGACUAGGGAUUGCCUACACCCUAGGCCCCACGCUGCGUGCUGAGGACUCAGAGAAAGUCAAGGUCCUGACAUCGGAGAGCCCGUGGCCUGGGGCAAGGCAGACAAGCGAGCUAAUGAUCCCCUGCGAGGCAUCUGUGCCAUAUGAGGGACACUCCCGGACACGGAGAGGCCACGGCGAAGGGACAUCCCCAUCCCCAGGGUCAGUUUCCAGAACACUGACUAUUCUGGAACAUGGACACUCCUCAGGCUCCCGAAGUGCCGGGGGGUCCAGGAGGGGCUGUCUGGGGUGCAAAGGCGUGUUCGUGAGCUGGGGGUAUGUGACAAGUGCCAGCGGCAGAGCACGCUGGGGGGCAGGGAGGGGUCGGGGAGAGGCGGGAUAGUCCCAGGCUGACGGAGGACCUGCACUUGACCUGGGGAGCCACGGCGGGCAGUCACACGUGCUGCGCAUUUGAGGGAGGCUACUCGGGCCCGCCGGGCGGGGAAUGAACCCUGGGCCCAGAGGAGACAGCAAGCUAACGGUGGCUUUACAAAAACAAAACCCGUUCACCCUCUCACCUCUGAGCACAUUGACGUGUUGCUGGUAGAGACACUAUUUUAAUAAACAGGUGCUUACUUGGUACACCUUAA